rnacentral:rRNA from 1 species
UACGUAGGGGGCUAGCGUUGUCCGGAAUCAUUGGGCGUAAAGCGCGUGUAGGCGGUCCGGUAAGUCCGCUGUGAAAGUCGGGGGCUCAACCCUCGAAUGCCGGUGGAUACUGUCGGGCUAGAGUGCGGAAGAGGCGAGUGGAAUUCCUGGUGUAGCGGUGAAAUGCGCAGAUAUCAGGAGGAACACCGAUUGCGAAGGCAGCUCGCUGGGACGUUACUGACGCUGAGAACGCGAAAGCGUGGGGAGCAAACAGG